rnacentral:rRNA from 1 species
UACGUAGGGACCGAGCGUUGUCCGGAUUCAUUGGGCGUAAAGAGCUCGUAGGCGGUCUGUCGCGUCGAUCGUGAAAACUUGGGGCUUAACCCUGAGCUUGCGGUCGAUACGGGCAUGACUGGAGUUCGGCAGGGGAGACUGGAAUUCCUGGUGUAGCGGUGAAAUGCGCAGAUAUCAGGAGGAACACCGGUGGCGAAGGCGGCCCUCUGGACGGUGACUGACGCUGAGACGCGAAAGCGUGGGGAGCAAACAGG